rnacentral:rRNA from 1 species
GACUCUCGGCAACGGAUAUCUCGGCUCUCGCAUCGAUGAAGAACGUAGCGAAAUGCGAUACUUGGUGUGAAUUGCAGAAUCCCGUGAACCAUCGAGUCUUUGAACGCAAGUUGCGCCCCAAGCCUUCAGGCCGAGGGCACGUCUGCCUGGGUGUCACAAAUCGUCGUCCCCAUCCUUUGCGGAUAAGG